rfam:Arabis alpina cultivar Pajares Aa.chr6_contig_1916, whole genome shotgun sequence.
GGGUGCGAUCAUACCAGUACCAGUACUAAUGCACCAGAUCUCAUCAAAUCUCUGCAGUUAAGCGAGCCAGGCGAAAGUAGCGCUAAGAUGGGUGACACUCUUCGGAAGUCUUCGGGUUGCACCCC